UUCAGUCUUCUUUUUCCUUCCUAGGUAAGAAAGGCUCAGAAAAGGGAGAGAAGGCAGAGCCAGUCAUGACACAGAGCCUCAACAGAGGCUGGUCUCCAGCAUCAGGCACUGAUGACAUUCACUGAGCCACAGCCCAUGCCCAGAAGGUUUCCGACGUUCACAUAGACCACAGGCCUUCUCCAGAAGUAAGCACCAACAGGGGCUACAAGAUCACUGAC
rnacentral:lncRNA from 1 species